GUAAUCUUAUGAUAAUAGAUAAGUUGAAAGUAGCUAGAGAAAAACAGAAAUGUAGAGAUAUGGUGCUUCGUAAGCAAAAUGUUGGUUCUUCUAUAUUAUCAUUUUCAUUUGAUGGGAGAAAAAAUGACUCUUUCAUACAACAACAAAUUAAUGAAAAAUUUCAUCAAAAUAUAGUAAAAGAGCAUCAUUUAGUUGUUACAAAGGAGCCUAAUACCACAUUACUUGGAUAUGUAAAGUUGAAUGGUGAUAAUGCAGAAACUCAACAAAAAACUUUAAAUGAAUUUUUUGUUAAUAAAGAUAUAUCACUAGAUUCAUUAAUUGGCAUUUGUUGCGAUGGCGAAGUUGCCAAUACUGGAACAGAAAAUGGUGUUUUACGUUGAUUUGAAUUGCAAUUAGGAAGACCAUUGCAUUGGUUUAUAUGUCUACUACAUUUUAAUGAACUUCCAUUAUGUCACUUAUACGAAGCAUUGGAGAAAUCAGCUACAUCUGGACCUCGUACAUCAACUGGAGAGUUAGCCCAAAAGAUUGUAGAAUGUCACAAAUUGCAGGUUGUAAGUGACUUUCAAUCGAUUCCAUUGAAGAAUAUGCCUCCGCUUUUGGAAGAUCAACAUCAUAAAGAUUUAUCUACAGACGUUCAAUAUUUAUACAAGAUAGGUCAAGCAAUUUCCAAUGGCAUCUGCCCAAUGGAUUUGGCUAAUAUUAAACCAGGAACAAUAUCACAUGCCCGCUGGUUAACUAAGGCUAGCAGAAUAUUAAGAUUAUAUGUGACUAAUCUGUCGAAAAAUUUUAAAGUUCUAGCAGUUUAUAUAAUGACUGUUUAUAUUCCAAUGUAUUUUAACAUUAAAUAUUAUAGUUCUGUAGUAUAUGGUAGUCAACUUUUAUCGCAAUUUAUUCAAUGGACAUAAUAUUUAUCCCCAAAUUUACGUAAUAUUAUAACUAAAUGACAAUAACUUGUAGUAGUCAACUUUUAUCGCAAUUUAUUCAAUGGACAAAAUAUAUAUCCCCAAAUUUACGUAAUAUUAUAAUUAAUUGACAAUAACUUAUAUUACGCAAACCCAGAAAAUGUGUUAUUGAGUAUGCUAUUUGAUACGAGAAAAGACAUACGCAACAGGGCUAUAGAAAAAAUUCUAAAUUUUUGGGAUAAUUUAGAUGAUACUAGUAAAAUUAGAAAAUACUAAAAACCGAAGAUUAAUUACGAGUGUACCGAUUACACCAAUAUGAUCGAUUUGAAUGAUAACCGAUAUGGUAACUUUAAAGACCUUUUACAAUUUGAUGAUAUGCCACUGAUGGAUCCUCAAAUUCCAUUGCAUAUUCAAGGAACAAAGAGAUACAUUCAAUUGCUAACUACUGUUUCGCGACGUGUCACUCACAAUAAAUCGAGAAAGGGUUAUGGUGGUAACUGUAGAGAGCAGAAAAAGUACUCCUCGCUUGGAGAGCAAAAUAGACUUCAAAAAGAAAUUAUAGUUUUAUACCCUUAUUAUUUAUUACGGGAUUGUUUUGAGUCUAAAAAAUUGUUGUAAAAACGGAUUUUAAGUUUAUUAUUGAUUUUUGAAUGUCAAGAAUUAUUUGUGAUUUUAGAAUAUAUUUCGUGUUAGA